rnacentral:misc_RNA from 1 species
AAGGUCGUAACAAGGUUUUCCCGCAGGUGAACCUGCGGAAGGAUCAUUAUCGUAGGGCUUCGGCCCUGUCGAGAUUAGAACCCCUUGCCCUUUUUUGGAGUACCUUUCGUUUCCCUCGGCAGGCUCGCCUGCCAAUGGGGACCCACAAAAAGCACUUUUGCAGUACCUGUAACAGUCUGAACAAAUCAAAAGCAAAAAGUUAAAAU